rnacentral:rRNA from 1 species
AUCGAACGCUGGCGGCAGGCCUAACACAUGCAAGUCGAGCGAGCGGCGGACGGGUGAGUAAUGUAUGGGGACUGCCCGACAGAGGGGGAUAACUACUGGAAACGGUGGCGAAUACUGCAUACUAUCGGAUAACCCAAACGGGAUUAGCUAGUAGGUGGGGUAAAGGCUCACCUAGGCGACGAUCUCUAGCGGGGCUGAGAGGAUGAUUAGCCACACGGUGACUUCGACACGGCCCAGACUCCUACGGAGUCAGCAGUGGUGAAUAUUGCGCAAUGGGCGCAAGCCUGAUGCAUCCAAGCCGCGUGUGUGAAGAAGGCCUUAGGGUUGUAAAGUGCGUGCAGCGGGGAGGCGUUACCCGCAGAAGAAGCACCGGCUAACUCCGUGCAAGCGGCCGCGGUAAUAC